rnacentral:tRNA from 1 species
CAGAGAAUAGUUUAAUAUUAAAAUAAUAAUUUUGGAGAUUAUUGAUAGAGAAUUUUCUUUCUCUGA